AAAAGUAAGUAAGGGCACAUGGCGGAUGCCUUGGCUCUCGGAGGCGAUGAAGGACGUGAUAAGCUGCGAUAAGCUGCGGGUAGGUGCAAAUGACCUUUGAUCCGCGGAUUUCCGAAUGGGACAACCCGGUACUUUGAAGAAGUAUCAUCCUGCAUUGCAGGAGGCUAACGCAGGGAACUGAAACAUCUUAGUACCUGCAGGAAAAGAAAAUAAACAAUGAUUCCCCCAGUAGUGGCGAGCGAACGGGGAAUAGCCCAAACCAUCCAUGUUACGGCAUGGGUGGGGUUGUAGGACCACGCCGUGGCAAGAAAGUUGGUGAGCAGAAUGUUCUGGAAAGUACAGCCAUAGAGCAUGACAGCUGCGUAUGCGAAGCCAAGCGAAGCCUAGUGGUAUCCUGAGUAGCGCGGAGCACGAGGAAUUCUGCGUGAAUCUGCCGGGACCAUCCGGUAAGGCUAAAUACUCCCGAGAGACCGAUAGUGAACCAGUACUGUGAAGGAAAGGUGAAAAGCACUUCGAACAGAAGAGUGAAAUAGUUCCUGAAACCAUGUGCCUACAAGCGGUCGGAGCACCUUUUGGUGUGACGGCGUGCCUUUUGCAUAAUGAACCUACGAGUUACUUUUUCCGGCGAGGUUAAGGAUUUCAGAUCUGCAGCCGAAGCGAAAGCGAGUCUGAACAGGGCGUAUAGUCGGAAGGAGUAGACGCGAAACCAAGUGAUCUACCCUUGGGCAGGUUGAAGGAUGGGUAACACCAUCUGGAGGACCGAACCAAUAAGCGUUGAAAAGCUUCUGGAUGACCUGAGGGUGGGGGUGAAAGGCUAAUCAAACUUGGAGAUAGCUCGUACUCCCCGAAAUGCAUUUAGGUGCAGCCUUGACUUAUACUGGCAUGAGGUAGAGCGACUGAUAAGAUGCGAGGGCUUCACCGCCUAUCAAGUCUUGACAAACUCCGAAUGCGUGUCAGUUCUAUGUCAGGAGUGAGGGCAUGGGUGCUAAGGUCCAUGUCCUAAAGGAGAACAAUCCGGACCAACAGCUAAGGUCCCGAAAUGAAUACUAAGUUGAACUAACGAAGUCAGAUUGCUAAGACAGCUAGGAUGUUGGCUUGGAAGCAGCCAUUCAUUUAAAGAGUGCGUAACAGCUCACUAGUCGAGGAGUUUGGCGUGGAUAAUAAUCGGGCAUAAGUAUUCUACCGAAGCUUUGGGAUGAGAAAUCAUCGGUAGGGGAGCAUUCCACUCGGCGUCGAAGGUGAAGCGCGAGCUUUGCUGGAGCGUGUGGAAAAGCAAAUGUAGGUAUAAGUAACGAUAAAGGGGGUGGGAAACCCCCUCGCCGAAAGACUAAGGUUUCCUGAUCAACGCUAAUCGGAUCAGGGUAAGUCGGGUCCUAAGGCUCAGCCGAACGGCGAGGCCGAUGGCAGAACCGGUUAAUAUUCCGGUACUACCUGUGGGAGUGACGUGGAGACGGAGUCGUGACAGCGCCGCGGACUGACGGAAUAGUCCGUUGAAGGGUGUAGAUGCUGAUUGUUCCAGGCAAAUCCGGAGCAAGAGUCGAACCUGAUAGUAUGGAGCGUUCUUAGAACAAUCCAAUAGUGCGUGUAAUCAUACUUCCAAGAAAAUCCGCUAAACUUAAUCCUGCAGGUACCCGUACCGCAAACGGACACACGUAGUCGGGUUGAAUAUACUAAGGCGCUUGAGUGAUUCACGGUUAAGGAACUAGGCAAACUGACCCUGUAACUUCGGGAUAAAGGGUCCUCGCUUUACGGCGAGGCGCAGAGAAUAGGUCCAGGCAACUGUUUAACAAAAACACAGGGCUGUGCAAAAUUGAAAGAUGAAGUAUACAGCCUGACACCUGCCCGGUGCUGGAAGGUUAAGAGGAGAUGUCAUCGCAAGAGAAGCAUUGAAUUGAAGCCCCAGUAAACGGCGGCCGUAACUAUAACGGUCCUAAGGUAGCGAAAUUCCUUGUCGGGUAAGUUCCGACCUGCACGAAUGGUGUAAUGAUCUGGACGCUGUCUCAACCGUGAGCUCAGUGAAAUUGUAGUAUCGGUGAAGAUGCCGAUUACCCGCGAUGGGACGAAAAGACCCCGUGAACCUUUACUAUAGCUUAACAUUGAAUUUGGGUAAUUGAUGUGUAGGAUAGGCCGGAGGCUU
rnacentral:rRNA from 1 species